rfam:Candida auris strain 6684 Scaffold34, whole genome shotgun sequence.
GCGCGAAUAGUUUAGUGGUAAAAUACAACGUUCCCAUUGUUGUGUCCCUGGUUCGAUUCCUGGUUCGCGCA